GACGUAGGAGGCGAGCGUUGUCCGGAGUUACUGGGCGUAAAGGGCGCGUAGGCGGCCACCGCAAGUCGACUGUGAAAUCUCCGGGCUUAACCCGGAAAGGUCAGCCGAUACUGCGGGGCUAGAGUGCAGAAGGGGCAACUGGAAUUCUCGGUGUAGCGGUGAAAUGCGUAGAUAUCGAGAGGAACACCUGCGGCGAAGGCGGGUUGCUGGGCUGACACUGACGCUGAUGUGCGAAAGCUAGGGGAGCGAACGGG
rnacentral:rRNA from 1 species